rnacentral:rRNA from 1 species
GUACACUCCUGCGGGAGGCAGCAGUGGGGAAUUUUGGACAAUGGGCGAAAGCCUGAUCCAGCAAUGCCGCGUGAGUGAAGAAGGCCUUCGGGUUGUAAAGCUCUUUUGUCAGGGAAGAAACGGUGAAAGCUAAUAUCUUUUGCUAAUGACGGUACCUGAAGAAUAAGCACCGGCUAACUACGUGCCAGCAGCCGCGGUAAUACGUAGGGUGCAAGCGUUAAUCGGAAUUACUGGGCGUAAAGCGUGCGCAGGCGGUUUUGUAAGUCUGAUGUGAAAUCCCCGGGCUCAACCUGGGAAUUGCAUUGGAGACUGCAAGGCUAGAAUCUGGCAGAGGGGGGUAGAAUUCCACGUGUAGCAGUGAAAUGCGUAGAUAUGUGGAGGAACACCGAUGGCGAAGGCAGCCCCCUGGGUCAAGAUUGACGCUCAUGCACGAAAGCGUGGGGAGCAAACAGGAUUAGAAACCCGAGUAGUCCCAUG